rnacentral:rRNA from 1 species
UACGUAGGUGACCAGCGUUGUCCGGAUUUACUGGGCGUAAAGCGCGCGUAGGCGGCUUUGCAAGUCGGGUGUGAAAUCCCCAGGCUUAACCUGGGAACUGCAUUCGAGACUGCAUUGCUAGAGUAUGGGAGAGGGAAGUGGAAUUUCCGGUGUAGCGGUGAAAUGCGUAGAUAUCGGAAGGAACAUCAGUGGCGAAAGCGACUUCCUGGACCAAUACUGACGCUCAUGUGCGAAAGCGUGGGGAGCAAACAGG